UGGGGAAUAUUGGACAAUGGGCGCAAGCCUGAUCCAGCCAUGCCGCGUGGGUGAAGAAGGCCCUAGGGUUGUACAUCCCUUUCAGCGGGGAAGAUGAUGACGGUACCCGCAGAAGAAGCCCCGGCUAACUCCCUGCCAGGAGCCGCGGUAAUACGGAGGGGGCUAGUGUUGCUGGGAAUUACUGGGCGUAAAGGGCGCGUAGGCGGAUCGUAAAGUCAGGCGUGAAAGCCCCGGGCUUAACCUGGGAACUGCGCUUGAUACUCACGAUCUAGAGUCCGGGAGAGGGGAGUGGAAUUCCCAGUGUAGAGGUGAAAUUCGUAGAUAUUGGGAAGAACACCGGUGGCGAAGGCGGCUACCUGGACCGGUACUGACGCUGAGGCGCGAAAGCGUGGGGAGCAAACAGGAUUAGAUACCCCUGUAGUCC
rnacentral:rRNA from 1 species